rnacentral:rRNA from 1 species
GACGAACGCUGGCGGCGUGCUUAACACAUGCAAGUCGAGCGAGAAAGCUCCUUCGGGAGUGAGUACAGCGGCGAACGGGUGAGUAACACGUGGGCAACCUGCCCUAGGGAGCGGGACAAACCCGAGGAAACUCGGGCUAAUACCGCAUGAUUCGUCAUGUCUCAAGGCAUGACGGGAAAUGGUAGCUGCGGCCUCCGCCCUAGGAUGGGCCCGCGGCGCAUUAGCNGUUGGUGUGGGUAACGGCCCACCAAGGCGACGAUGCGUAGCUGGUCUGAGAGGACGAUCAGCCACACUGGGACUGAGACACGGCCCAGACUCCUACGGGAGGCAGCAGUGGGGAAUCUUGCGCAAUGGGCGGAAGCCUGACGCAGCAACGCCGC